rnacentral:rRNA from 1 species
GGGGAUUUUGUUUUUUGCGUUUAAAGCUCGCACCUUGGAUUUCUGGUUAAUAGCGACCGGUCCGCCGUUUGGUGUGCACUGGUCGGUUUUAACUUCCUGUAGAGGACGUGCUCUGGGUUUAACGACCUGGACUCGGAGUCUACGUGGUUACUUUGAAAAAAUUAGAGUGUUCAAAGCGGGCUUACGCUUGAAUAUUUCACCAUGGAAUAACACUAUAGGACUCCUGUCCUAUUUCGUUGGUCUCGGGACGGGAGUAAUGAUUAAGAGGAACAGUUGGGGGCAUUCGUAUUUCAUUCUCAGAGGUGAAAUUCUUGGAUUUAUGAAAGACCAACUUCUGCGAACGCAUUUGCCAAGGAUGUUUUCGCUAAUCAAGAACGAAUGUCGGGGGCUCGAAGAUGAUUAGAUACCAUCCUAGCCUCCCUAUAAACGAUGCCGAUUAUGGUUUGGCGGAUGUUAAUUGAUGACUCCGCCAUUACCGUAU